rnacentral:rRNA from 1 species
UUGGAGGGCAAGUCUGGUGCCAGCAGCCGCGGUAAUUCCAGCUCCAAUAGCGUAUAUUAAAGUUGUUGCAGUUAAAAAGCUCGUAGUUGAAUUUCGGGGUUCUACCGUUGGUCGGGCUUUGUCUGUACUGGUGUGUAGAAUUUCUACCUUCUGGGGUACCAUCAUGCUAUUAAUUUAGCGUGGUGGGAAACCAGGACCUUUACCUUGAAAAAAUUAGUGUGUUCAAAGCAGGCUUAUGUCUGAAUACAUUAGCGUGGAAUAAUAGAAUAGGACGGUGGUCCUGUUUUGUUGGUUUCUGAAUCACCGUAAUGAUUAAUAGGGAUAGUUGGGGGCAUUAGUAUCCAAUUGUCAGAGGUGAAAUUCUUGGAUUUAUUGAAGACUAACUUCUGCGAAAGCAUUUGCCAAGGAUGUUUUCAUUAAUCAAGAACGAAAGUUAGGGGAUCGAAGACGAUCAGAUACCGUCGUAGUCUUAACCAUAAACUAUGCUGACUAGGGAUCGGACGAUGUUAAUUUUUCUUGACUCGUUCGGCGCCUUACGGGAAA